rnacentral:rRNA from 1 species
UNCCCGUGAGGGAAAGUUGAAAAGANCUUUGAAAGAGAGAGUUCAAGAGUACGUGAAANCCGUUCAGGGGUAAACCUGAGAAACCUAAAAAGAUCGAAUGGGGAGAUUCAACGUCAGCGAUUUUGGCUUUCGUGUGGUUCGUGAACUGCGUUAUGUCCAAAGUCGUUGGCGUGCACUUCUCCCCCUAGUAGGACGUCGUGACCCGUUGGGUGUUGGUUUACGGUCUGGGUGGUUGCCUGUUCCAAUGGAGCAGACCCCCGACCUGACCAACUGCCUGGCGGUAGUAUCGGGCCGCAUGCGUCGGGCCCGUCGCAAGCUAGAUCAGUGUGGAGGUGCGGACCUAGUGCCGUCCCCGGCUGGUCGGCUGUUGGUCGACGGUGUUCUCGGACAGGCUACCGGUCGGCGACGCUACUGCUUUAGGUACUUUCAGGACCCGUCUUGAAACACGGACCAAGGAGUCUAACAUGUGCGCGAGUCAUUGGGAAAAACCUAAAGGCGUAAUGAAAGUGAAGGUCGAUCUUGCGUCGACUGAGGGGAGGAUGGGCUGUGUCACGAUGCAGCCCCGCACUCCCGGGGCGU